rnacentral:rRNA from 1 species
UACGGGAGUGGCAAGCGUUAUCCGGAAUUAUUGGGCGUAAAGCGUCUGCAGGUUGAUGUAAAAGUCUUUUGUUAAAUAUCAGGGCUUAACCCAGAAUCUGCAAAAGAAACUAUAUAUCUCGAGUAUGGUAGAGGUAAGGGGAAUUUCCAGUGGAGCGGUGAAAUGCGUAGAUAUUGGAAAGAACACCGAUAGCGAAGGCACCUUACUGGGCCAUUACUGACACUCAGAGACGAAAGCUAGGGUAGCAAACGGGAUUAGAUACCCCGGUAGUCCUAGCCGUAAACGAUGGAUACUAGAUGUUGUGUAUUUAAUACAGUGUCGUAGCUAACGCGUUAAGUAUCCCGCCUGGGAAGUAUGCUCGCAAGGGUG